AGUGAGAUAGCUGGGUCAAAUAGUGGUUCCAUUCCAAGUUUUCUGAGGGAUCUCCAUACUGCUUUCCAUAGUGGCUGUACCAAUUGCAGUUCCACAAGCAAU
rnacentral:pre_miRNA from 1 species